AAAAAAAAUAUGCUGCUCAAAUUCUCUAGCUGAAUAUCAAAAACAGAACCAAUCUAUUUUCAGAGAAAUCAAAGUUACCAGUCCAUAGGAAAUCAUUAUCGACUUUUUGGGACCUUUCUGUCAAAGACGCAGGCCAUCAUGCAAGAUCUUCAGCUAAAGGCUUGUAAAACAAACAUGUUGACAAUAAGAGCUCUUCUAGCAGCUCAAAAAUAUAUUCACCAACUCCAACAACACUAUACCAGAACAUAUUAAUAACCCAAAAUGUCCAGAUGAUGACAGAA
rnacentral:misc_RNA from 1 species